AGUCGCCCUCCUGAACAGUCAUUACAGAUUUUUUUUACUCAUCUAAUCGAUUGUCUAGUUAUGCUGUGUUCUGACUCUCCUCUGAGUGCAGGUGUCAGUCUCUUUAUUUUUAUGGUGCCGGGUGUUCUGUCUUGCUUGCACUUGUUGUAGUUACUGUUCUCUGGUUCCACCGGUAUGUCUUUGGGCGGUGUGGUCUCUUGCUGCUGCAGUACUGUCAGACCGGCGAGUUGCAAGAAGCUGU